rnacentral:rRNA from 1 species
UAGAGUUUGAUCCUGGCUCAGGAUGAACGCUAGCGGCAGGCCUAAUACAUGCAAGCUGAACGGUAAAUAUUCCAGCAAUGGGAUAUGAGAGUAACGUAAGGGUGCGUAACACGUAUGCAAUCUGCCCUGUACAGGAGGAUAGCUCGGGGAAACCCGGAUUAAUACUCCGUAAUAUUAUUGGGAGGCAUCUUUUGAUGAUUAAAGUCGCAAGAUGGUACAAGAUGAGCAUGCCUCAGAUUAUCUAGUUGGUGGUGUAACAGACCACCAGGGAUAUGAUCAGUAGGGGAACUGAGAGGUUGAUCCCCCACAGUGGCUCUGAUAUACGGGCCAGACUCCUACGGGAGGCAGCAGUAGGGAAUAUUGGUCAGUGGAUGCAAGUCUGAACCACCCGUGCCGCGUGCAAGAAGAAGGUCUUCUGGGGUGUAAACUGCUCUUGCCGGGGGAUAAAAUUCCCAUGCGUGGGACAUUGAAUGUACCCGGUGAAUAAGCCACGGCUAACUACGUGCCAGCAGCCCCGGUCAA